GGUCUCAUGACCGGGAAGGGAGAAAAACAAAAGGGAGACGAGACACAACUCUAAGGGAAGGAUGUGUGUGCGUGCGUGUGUGUAUGAGAGUGUGUGUACGUGCGCGCGCUCUCCCUCCUCUGCUGGGAGAAAGGAGGCUCCGGCAGCGGACAGGCAGCAGCCAUCCUCCCACCCUGGAGACCAGUGGCCCCGGUGGGUCCAGCUCGCACCCUCUGAUUGUGGCGGUCGCCCGUCCUGGUCCCCCACGCGCCGCGGAAGCUGGGGGAGCUGUCAGCCUGCUCCCCUCCUCUGGCUGCCUUCACUCGCCUGUCCGCCCCAGAGCUCGCUUUCCCUCCCGGGCGGCUGUACCGUUGUGGGCUACGUUCAGAGAAGUCCCACUAUUGCCAUGAGCAGGGACAUAAUAGAGUUUAAAGGCCGCCGUAUUUUCUAAGUUUUAAAACAGUUUGCUUCGACGCCGUUGUUUAUGACAACCGCGUGGCAACACCAGGCACAAUCUAAUGUUGGUUCCAAUCCUUCCCCUCUUUCUCUACCCCCGCUUUCCCCCUUUUCCCAAAGUGGGGCACAACUUGGUGUGGUCUUCAAUGGGGAUUGGUUUUGUGGGGAUGGACCAUUCACUACGGAUUGAUUGAUUUAAGAACCGCUUAUUUAAAUAAGUGGUGUUCAGGGUCAGAGGAUUGUUUCAGAAGACAGUUGCAUAGAGCAAGGUGGAUUCGUGUUACACUGAUCUUAUUCACAUUCAAAGGGAGUGAUAGACAUUUCAUUCUUUCCGAAGUUCACAGUUGCUGAAAAAAAAAUAUUUGGGAACUCUGCCACUGUUUUCCGGUGAGAUAUAGAAUUUUGUACUCUUGUUUACUACUGGGUUCCCUUCAGGCACUUUCACUUUUGUUUUUCGUGAGUUUCCUUUCUGGUUUUUUUUUUUUUCCUCUAUUUCUUAAUUCAGAGCAGAAAUGGACUUCAUAGUUGAGCAGGGUUCCUGGCUUUUACAGGGAGAGAAACGGAGACUCUGAGUAGUGCUAGGAGUUGCUCUAGGGCACACAUUUAAUUAGAGCCCAGCUUGGAUUGCGCCCUGCUCACCUGUCGUUUCUCUUAGGGGUUGGCUAUAAGAGGAUGGGGUGGGGACGGGACUCACGGAACAUCGCUAUGUGCUUAUUGUGAAUUAUUUUUAUUAGACUCACAGAGUUGACCACUCUCCCCUUUGUGCAUCCACUGUAUGGUUUUUACAUUUAUUUUCUGGUGCCUUUCACAGAUCAGCGUACGGCACAGUUGCUGUAUCUCCCACUAGGGUAAGCUUUGAGGCCAGGGCCAUGCCAUACUCAUUUUAUAUCUCCCAUAUUUAGCACCAUGACUAGCAAUGAAUGAGCAAAUGAAGGCCUGAAGAGGAUCUUUUCCAUAAUUCCAUCCUAGGAAAUUCCUUGCAUGUUUCUGGUGAAGGUAGAACACUGGAGAUGCUUUUUGAUUCUUACACCUCUGCAGACCAUUUUUGGCAGUCUUCUUUAGUUACAAAGCCAGGCAAAACAUGUUUUGCUUUUCUCAAUUUUUUAAAUCAACUGCUUCCCCCCUCGCCCCGCCCCGCCCCUCGUUUUACCAUAUUUGGUUCCUCUUCUUUAAAUUCUUUCUGAUUCAUAUGAAUAAAUUAGUUAUGCCAA
ensembl:lncRNA novel transcript